rnacentral:tRNA from 1 species
AUCUGUUGUAGUCUAAUUGGUUAAAAUAUUUGGCUCUCGCCCAAAAAGACCCGGAUUCAAGUCCCCGCAAUAGAAAGCUA